AGUUCAGCUCCUGCUAGGAAGAAGCUAUUUUUGGUCUUUCCUUGCCGGAAGUGGGCGCUCCCAGAGCUCCGCCGCAGCUGUGCGCGUGGCGGUUUGGGAGAACCCCGGGUGCCGUGUUGGGAUGGGCGGGCCCUCACGGUGGUCGCGGAGCGCCUCGCGAGGGCCUGUUGUCUGCUCACUCCUGCCUGGUUCCUGAGCUCGCUGGUUCACGGUAUUCCAGCCCCUGAGGGCACCAAUGGCGUUUCCUAGAGGAUGAAGAAACCAGCCGCCAUCUUGGAACCAAUGACCAAAUCUGUUGGUGCCGUGACCCUGGGCUUCCUAGCCUCCAGAACUAUGAGAAAUACAUUUAUUUCUAUUCUUUAUAAAUUGCGUAGUUUCAAGUAUUCUGUUAUAGCUGCACAUCAAGGACAAAGUCACCAACCCUUAAAGAGGUCAACAAAAACAAGGAGGGUCUGAGGAACUGAGUUACUUCUGAGGAGCCUACGAAGACAUGAUGACAAAUGAGAUGGAGUAUCCUGGGUGGGAUACUGAAUAAGAAAAAGGACAGCAGGUCAAAACUCAGGAAAUUGCAAUAUAAAUUAUGGAUAUUAGUUAGUAAUAAUGUCCUUGGCUCAGUAAUUGUGUAUCAUGUUAAUUACAGGGCAAAUCAGGUGUGAUGUAUACAGAGCUUCUCUACUAUUUUUGCAGCUUUUCUGUAAAUCUGAAACUAUUCUAAAGCUAAAAGUUUACUUAAUAGUGAAGUUAGAUAAAAGAAAAAAUGUGUAGAAAUACUGGGGGUAGCAAAACCAUCUUUUUUUGUAGUUAAUAUGAUUAAGUUGCUAAAAAACCCAAGAUAAGAGCUAUAAAAUAAAAUUUUAAAAAUUUUCAAAAGGUGAGAGAGACCUAGCUCUCCAGAGCCUGUCUUCUUUCCUUCUUUGUUUAUUUCUUUCCUCCUCCUUCUCCUCCUCCCUCUUCUUUUGUGGAACUGGAGAUUUAACCCUGGGCCUUGCUUAUGCUAGUUAAGCAUGUUCUGCCACUGACCCACUCCUAGAUACUCCCCACCUUUUAAAUGUUUUUUGAGACAGGGUCUUGCUAGGUCACUAAGUUGCUCAGGCUGGGCUUGAACUUGUGAUAUGCCUGCCUCAGUCUCCCACAGUGCCAGGAUUACAGGUAUGUACCACAGUGCCCAGUGAGAACUUGUUUUCCAAAUACCAUUAUCCCAUAACAGGAAACAGGGAUCCUCAGGUCCUGAAAUCCCAGGGAAAAUAUAAGAUAAUCCUGGAAUGUGUUACGGUGCCAGAAAAGUGAGAUAGUAAAGAAGGGGUGGGGGACAUUAAAAGGUCCCAGGAACCAGACUAAAAGAGCCCCUAAUGACCAAAAUUGAAACAACCUGAAUAACAAAAUCAUGAUCGUAUUCAAUUAAAACCCAUAACAUCCAGGAGUUCAUUUUGGUAUCAACCUUUUCUUGAAAAGGAAUAAAUGGGAGAGAAGUUACAACUCUUCCUUACAGAAGGACCCUAAUUAAUGAAGGUGGAAGGAAUGAGGGGAAUGGAAAAUUACCAUUAAAAUGUCACAUCAAUCACUGCUAUAGAUACAAUUCAUGGAUGAUGUUAAAAUUAAUGAGCAAAAGUUGAGUUAGAAACAGGAUAUUUGCAGUCUCAAGGUAUCUUCUCUAAGACAUUUGGUAAUUAAAAAGAGACAAAAAGUCACUUAACAGAGGAGACUCCUAGCAGACACCAUCUUAACCAAGUGCUCAAGAUUAAUCUGUGUAAAAUUAACCCACACUGAGUACCCCCUGUACAGCUCAUUAAGAAGACAUAUUGUGUCUGUGAUACCUUUUCCAAUGACGAUAACCUUGACCCAAACUGAGAACAGUCUAUGAAACAACUGACCACUGUUCUUCAAAAGUAUCAAAAAUGAAAGGUCACGGAAAGACCAUGUAAUGUCACAGACUGGAGGAGCCCAGAGAGAAAUGUCCACUGGAUACACUUUGGGGUGCAGGACUGGAGUCUGAAGGAGGUCGGGUGUCCAUGGGAAAACCAGGGACUGCUAAAGUCAGGAGUUAAUAGCAUGGUGCCAAAUGCUAAUUUUGACAAUUGUUUGGUUGUUACAUAAAAUGUUAACAUAAGGGGGAAACUGGGUUAACAUAAGGGGAAACAGGAACUCUCUGUACUAUUUUUACAAGUUGUCUGUAAGUCAAAAUUAGCUCAAAACAGAAAGUGAAAGAAUACCAAAAAGAAUGGCCAUUUUCAAAGUAAUAAUAAGAAACCUCAAUAGAUGUCCUAUAUACACACAUCAGCCCAUUAGAGCAGAUGACAGAUGAGCCAGGACCAGUGGCCUGUAUUGUAGUCCCAGCUACUUGAAAGGUUGAGGCUUGGACUCACGAGUUUGAGGCCAGCCUGGGCAACAUAGUGAGGCCCAAUCUCAGGAAAAAAAAAAAAAAAAGACAAAUAAAAAUACUAAUUAACAGCCAUCUAGAAAGCAUGUAGAACCAAGGGAUAAAUUUUACAAGAAACUGCAGGCCAGCUAUGAAGAAAACUAUAAAAUGCUGUUGAUGCUUUGAAAAAGAUUUGAAUAAAUGAAAAGUGGUAUUGUGUCCUUGAAUAGAAA